GUUAUUGUAGCUUAAAAUUAUAAAGCGCGGCACUGAAGAUGCCGAGACGGGAACCAAAAUUUUCCCCAAAAACA
rnacentral:tRNA from 1 species